rnacentral:rRNA from 1 species
CGUCUAUAUACGUAUAGCAUAUCAAUAAGCGGAGGAAAAGAAACUAACUAGGAUUCCCUCAGUAACGGCGAGUGAAGCGGGAAGAGCUCAAAUUUGAAAUCUUCAAGGUUCUACCUUGACGAAUUGUAGUUUAAAGAAGUGUUUUCUGUUGGAGUUUUGGUAAAAGUUCUUUGGAAUAGGACAUCAUAGAGGGUGAGAAUCCCGUAUUUGACCAUUAUUUCCAACUUUGUGAUACACUUUCAAAGAGUCGGAUUGUUUGGGAAUGCAGUCCAAAAUGGGUGGUAAAUUUCAUCUAAAGCUAAAUACUGGCGAGAGACCGAUAGCGAACAAGUACCGUGAGGGAAAGAUGAAAAGAACUUUGAAAAGAGAGUUAAACAGUACGUGAAAUUGUCAAAAGGGAAGCGUUUGACACCAGUGUUGUUUUCUCGAAAAUCAAUUAAAAAUGGCGGGAUUUUGUGUUGUAUUGACUUUAUCAGCUUUCUGCACUUUUUUCCUGUCUUUUUUAAUGCACUUUUCGUUUAACAAGUCAACAUCAAUUUCUUUUGUUGUAAAAGAGUCAUUGGAAGGUGGCUUUCUUUUCGGAGAAAGUGUUUAUAGCCUUUGACUUCUGCAAUCGGAGAGACUGAGGUCUGCAGCGUAGAUCCUUCUGGGAUUAGAUUACAUUUGUGCUAAGUUAUAGCUUUUAUAGACAACAUGUUGACUAUGAUUCAGUCAUGUAGCUUACUCGCUUAUGUAAUUUUACCUACGCUUAGGAUGUUGACGAUCAGCUGAGCGCG